UGUAGCGUAGAGGAGUGGUUACCUUGCAAGACUCAUGCUCUUGAGACGAUAGUUCGAAUCUAUCCGCUGCAC
rnacentral:tRNA from 1 species